rnacentral:rRNA from 1 species
CCACACAGUAAACGAUGAAUACUCGCUGUUUGCGAUAUACAGUAAGCGGCCAAGCGAAAGCGUUAAGUAUUCCACCUGGGGAGUACGCCGGCAACGGUGAAACUCAAAGGAAUUGACGGGGGCCCGCACAAGCGGAGGAACAUGUGGUUUAAUUCGAUGAUACGCGAGGAACCUUACCCGGGCUUGAAUUGCAACUGAAUGAUGUGGAGACAUGUCAGCCGCAAGGCAGUUGUGAAGGUGCUGCAUGGUUGU